GGACCAUCCUUGACUCCCUGCAAAAUCCGGAUUAUUUUUACAAGAGAAACAUAUGAAAAGCUCCAGAGGCAGAAAUACAUACAGACCUUACCGACAUGGACUCGCCUCCUGUGAGAAAAAAAGACAAAUGCAAUCUUCCCACUUCCAGCAGCUCCAGAAGUGCAAAUCAGCCCCAUCAGAAAAUUUACCAGCAGAGCAGGGAAUUACUCUCAACCACUGGCCAGGAAGGAGGCGGAAAAUAUGAAUU